rnacentral:rRNA from 1 species
CCUACGGGUGGCAGCAGUGAGGAAUAUUGGUCAAUGGGCGCGAGCCUGAACCAGCCAAGUAGCGUGAAGGAUGACUGCCCUACGGGUGGUAAACUUCGUUUAUAAAGGAAUAAAGUGAGGCACGUGGGCCGUUUUGUAUGUACUUUAUGAAUAAGGAUCGGCUAACUCCGUGCCAGCAGCCGCGGUAAUACGGAGGAUCCGAGCGUUAUCCGGAUUUAUUGUGUUUAAAGGGAGCGUAGAUGGGUUGUUAAGUCAGUUGUGAGAGUUUGCGGCUCAACCGUAAAAUUGCAAUUGAUACUGGCAGUCUUGCGUACAGUUGAGGUAGGCGGAAUUCGUGGUGUAGCGGU